rnacentral:rRNA from 1 species
UCUAAGCACAUGCCUUAAUACGGUGAAGCCGCGAAUAGCUCAUUACAACAGCCACCGUUUACUAGAAUAUAGUUAUCCUACUUGGAUAACUGUGGCAAUUCUAGAGCUAAUACAUGCAAAAAAGCUCCGCCCGCAAGGAACGAGCGCAUUUAUUAGAAUAAAAACCAAUCGGGUUUCGGCCCGUAAUUUGGUGAAUCUGAAUAACUUUGCCAAUCGCACAGUCCUAGUACUGGCGAUGUAUCUUUCAAGUGUCUGCCUUAUCAACUUUCGAUGGUAGGUUAUACGCCUACCAUGGUAGUAACGGGUAACGGAGAAUAAGGGUUCGACUCCGGAGAGGGAGCCUGAGAAACGGCUACCACAUCCAAGGAAGGCAGCAGGCGCGCAAAUUACCCACUUCCAGAACGGAGAGGUAGUGA